UAUAAAACUGGAAAUAGAAAUGUUGUACAUAAAAAGGAAACUAGAGAGUAGAAUAGCUUGGCAAAUAGGGGUGCCAAAAUCCCCCACAAGGCAAUUCUCCCCUGUAAAAAUUUCCCAAUUCCAUCUUCCCUAUCUUCAAUCCCCUCUCCCUUUUUACAAUUGUGUUUCAACCCAUAGCCUUUCCAUCCUCCACAUAUUUGGUUCCACUGGAAUUUGCCACCUCAGCACAAGGAAAGACUGCUCUGGACGAGCCCCUAUAUCUCCUUUGUACACUUUUUUAGUUGGACGCCUAACAGCUUCAUAUUAGUUAAAAAUGGAGUUCUCUGUAAUCCGGAGCAGGAAUCAACUUUCAAUAGGACUAUUGGUUGUGCAAUCAUCUCCCCUGUAAAAUUUUCCCAACAUUCCCAUCGGCAAUUGGUUGUGCAUGCCCUAACUCCCUUCUUUCUAGCCACUCGCUCAUCCCCAUCAGCAUCUUAUGCCCUCACUUUUCCUUCAGCCAAGGCUCCAACUCCCCCUUGGGUUGCUGACUGUCCCACCGGGAGCUUGUCUUUGUUUUGCGGCUGGCUAUUCUGAUACACCAGCGUCAGUAAGUCUUUCAUUUCAAUGAAUUCCCCCCUUAGAAAUUGAUUUCCGGCCUCAAGUCCAUCUAAUCUCUCUAUUGAGUCUUUCUCCAAUUGAUCAACCGUGGAAUCCAUUCAGGUAUUCACCAUAAAUCACUUCCCGGCGAGUUCUGAUACCACUUUGUUAGAAAACUAACAAUACAAUUACCAACACAACACUGAUGACGAAUAGAUGAUCUUAUUUAUCAUAAGCUCUCUCUCACACAACAAACCUAUUAUUCCCAACAGAAAUGAAAACACUACAACAUAGAUAUCCUGACAAUAAGGUGCCAGGCCCGCCCCCCUUUUUUAGGCUGAAAACCCACGGAGAAUUCUUGAAUUUUUUCUUGCCUUCUUCCUCCUCCAUUCUUCUGUUUUUAUAGUUUGUCCUUGCUUUGGUUUCCUUGAUCUUGGCUUGAUUAUUUUGGCUGAGAUUUCAGCUGCUGUAAUUUGCCGAAUUCCCUCUGCUUGCUGCCCUCUGGAUUAUCUCCUCAUUGCUUGCUGUCUCCCUUGCUGUCCUCUGAGUUUUCUGCUGAUGUUUUGUCUCUGAUUAAAGUCUCCAGCUUCCUGUCCAGCUCUCUGUUAUUAAUUCCAUUAUUUUUCAUUUUAUAGACCUGCAUGAUUGGUGGCCUAACACAUAGCUUGCAAACAAACAAUUGUUACCCUAUGACAUGGCAAAGGAGAGUUACAUGUUAUCUCACAGUCGAUAUUAAAUCUUACUACUCAUCAAUGACAACACUUGAUCAGAAGUGGCAUGGAAUAUUUGAAGUACCAGCUCAAAUCCUGCAACAACUCAUUAAGGGUCAAAGAUGGAACAGCAAUAUCGUCAAUAUUCACCCAAAAUAAUACUUGCAACUACAAAACAAAGAUGAAAAGAGGACAUACUGUAUAUAUUCCACAUUGAUUUUUCUUCCAUUGUGGGAAAUGGCUGCAAAGGCAUUGGUAGACAGUUGGAUCGUAGAUGGGCAGGGUGUCUUUGAGCAGAAAUCCACCACCUUGACCUCAGUGGUUUGCUGCUUGCAUGGUUUAUUGGUUCCACUUAGACAUCUCAGAGGAUACCGCCUUCCACAGGCAGCACCAUUAUCCCACAAAAUUUCACUCACCGCAACAAACAGCUUGCUUGGUGGGAACUGAUCUUGUCUACUUCCAUGACAUCUAGUGGUUGCAGAAGAUGGAAAUCAGUAUGCAUAAAUAAAUUUACUAUCUGUUCUGUUAUUUUAACUUGUAAAUUUGAUAUCUUUUGCGAGUUAAUGAAUGAAAAAACUGCUGCUUAACA